GGGAAAGGAAAGAAUGGGGACAGCAGACACACUGAAGCUGUCCCCUGCAGCUACUCUGCUCCUCCUUCAUGGAAUGAAAUGGCUCCUUUUAUUUUCCUUUUAUUGUUCAUUGUGUUUUAUAAUUUUGUAAUUUUUUUUAAAUGAAAAAGGGAAGGAAAACAUCUUCCCUUUUUGUCAUAUGACGCAGUGGCUUUACUUCUUUCAAUGAAUUGAGAAAUGUUCCAAAUGUUCCAUUCAUGUAAAAGAUGUAAGGCCUUUAAAUGCAGUUUAAAAACAUAAGUGGGCAAAACACUGAUCAGCAGAUAACCCUCUAGCUCCAAACAAAAGACAAAUUAGCAACAGGCUGGCCCCAAAUCUUCCGGUGGACUCCACCAUAUCAUUAGCAGUAUGUUAAAUAGGCUUUGAAACAAAUUCAUCUCUGAUUCUUGUCCUAGAGGUCUGAGGCCUCAGGUGGGGCCAUAUUAGAUCUUUCUUUUGUUUCUUGGAACUAAUUCCCCUGGGUGGAUCCAAGGAGGACUCAUGUGGGAUUACAGAAUAGAGCAGUAAGAAUCCAUCAUAUUUUUUUUCUUGCAAAUUCUAUUAUGUGGUCUCCUCAAAUUUGUCAUUAAAGAAAUCAUAAUAUAGAAAAACAAUCCCAAACACAGGGUACUGCUUCUUGUUUCGUCUUUAUUUUCUCUUUAAUAGCAGUGAUAUCAAGCUGGGCCAUAGCAAUCAUAAGUGCUGCCUUCUGGGUGGCUACUAUUCGUCAGUCCCUUUGUCCCUCACAACUCUCCAAAGCUCAUUAUACCCAUUUCACAGAUGAAGCCAUUGAGAUAGCCAUGUCGCACCAAUAAUUCAGUCCCAGGUCUCGCAGAGUUUGGGGUGUAGGCUCUUGGCUGGUAAGCCUCAUCACCUCUCAGGGCAUGUGUCACCUGGCUCACCCACUCUGGAAGAAGUCA
rnacentral:lncRNA from 1 species